rnacentral:lncRNA from 1 species
AGAACCCUUCCAUUAAAGCUCUAAAUCCCUAAAGUUUAAGUUAGAGUUUCAUACUGAAACUCUAAUCUAGACGAGCUAAACCCCAAAUACAGUAUUGAUAAACAAUCCAAGACACAUAGAAAAUAAGAAAGCUGAUGUUUGAAGAGGGAAAGUGAACUUAUCUUUAGUCGUCGGUAGAUUUCUUCACGCCUUGACCAAUCCAGUACACUUU